rnacentral:rRNA from 1 species
UACGUAGGGUGCAAGCGUUGUCCGGAAUUAUUGGGCGUAAAGAGCUCGUAGGCGGUCUGUCGCGUCUGCUGUGAAAACUCGGGGCUUAACCCCGGGCCUGCAGUGGGUACGGGCAGACUAGAGUGCGGUAGGGGAGACUGGAAUUCCUGGUGUAGCGGUGAAAUGCGCAGAUAUCAGGAGGAACACCGGUGGCGAAGGCGGGGUCUCUGGGCCGUAACUGACGCUGAGGAGCGAAAGCGUGGGGAGCGAACAGG